CUGCCAUGACAAUAAGGGACUGAGCUUCUGAAAGUUCAAUGACUGACAGAGCGCAAAAAGCCAGCCUGGGGUUCAAGAGGACUGACUUUGCGCUACGAUGCACACCUGACACUCCUGAUCAAAACUGUUUGAGGCUAGAUCCCGGGGGCACAUCCUCCUCUAUGCUGAACCUUGCCUGGGCUCUAUUGUGAUCCUUUGAUGCUGGACAAGAAUCCCUGCACACCCCUGCACAGGCUGGGAAGGUCCAUCCGUCUGUCCUCCUUCCCCCAACCCCACUCGCUCAGAGAAAACUCUGGCCUAACAUGUCACUACUCCUUGUCUCCACAUUCCUAGCAACCCACCCACGAGCUCAGUGUUUGACCAUGGAUGGGCACAAUCCCAGCUCCUAUCUGUGACCUCAUCGCUCCUCACCGAGCUCUGUGAGGAGCUUGCUUUAACCUGGAAACACAACUCCACUGAUCUCUUCCUAUGAGAUCAGUGAGCUAGGCUGAGAGCUACCUCCUAAUAAACCUGCCUUCAUCUUCUAA